rnacentral:rRNA from 1 species
AUUGAACGCUGGCGGCAUGCCUAACACAUGCAAGUCGAGCGGAUGAAGGGAGCUUGCUCCUGGAUUCAGCGGCGGACGGGUUAGUAAUGCCUAUGAAUCUGCCUGGUAGUGGGGUAUAACGUCCGGAAACGGGCGCUAAUACCGCAUACGUCCUGCUGGAGAACGUGGGGGAUCUUCGGACCUCACGCUAUCAGAUGAGCCUAGGUCGGAUUAGCUAGUUGGUGGGGUAAAGGCCUACCAAGGCGACGAUCCGUAACUGGUCUGAGAGGAUGAUCAGUCACACUGGAACUGAGACACGGUCCAGACGCCUACGGGAGGCAGCAGUGGGGAAUAUUGGACAAUGGGCGAAAGCCUGAUCCAGCCAUGCCGCGUGUGUGAAGAAGGUAUUCGGAUUGUAAAGCACUUUAAGUUGGGAGGAAGGGCAGUAAGUUAAUACCUUGCUGUGUUGACGUUACCAACAGAAUAAGCACCGGCUAACUUCGUG